rnacentral:piRNA from 1 species
UGGCAUUUCUCAAUGGCUCAAAGGA